CUCUUGGGAACAGAAAAUUGCUGUAGGUAUCCUAGUUUUCCUACAGAAGCUCUUGGGUUGCUUCAAGCAACAAACAAAUAAACAAAUAUCUUUUGGGUUGCCUCAAGUAACAGAUAAUCAUACAAUAAGUACUUUACUCUUUCCUUUUUCUU